CGCGAUGGCGGGCCUACGGGCCACAAGUGAAUGAGUCCGGCUGCCAAGAAAAGCUUCUAAGUGAUGAACGUCAGGUGACCGUACCGCAAACCGACACUGGUAGACGGGUAGAGAAUACCAAGGCGAACGGGAGAACCCUCGUUAAGGAACUAGGCAAAAUGGCCCCGUAACUUCGGGAGAAGGGGCGCCUACCGCAAGGUAGGCCGCAGUGAAAUGGCUCUGCCGACUGUUUAACAAAAGCACAGGUCUCUGCAAACGCGAAAGCGGACGUAUAGGGGCUGACACCUGCCCAGUGCCGGAAAGUUAAAGGGAAGGGUUAGGUUUUCGGACCGAAGCUCAGAACUGAAGCCCCGGUGAACGGCGGCCGUAACUAUAACGGUCCUAAGGUAGCGAAAUUCCUUGUCGGGUAAGUUCCGACCCGCACGAAUGGUGUAACGAGUGGAGCGCUGUCUCAACGAGGGACCCGGCGAAAUUGAAAUACGUGUAAAGAUGCGCGUUACCCGCAGCAGGACAAAAAGACCCCGUGGAGCUUUACUACACCUUGUUAUUGCGUUAGGGCUUGGCUUGUGCAGCAUAGCUGGGAGCCUGGGAAGCUGGGACGUUAGUCUCGGUGGAGGCAUUCUUGAGAUACCAGCCUGGUGAAGCUUUAGCCCUAACCGCUGGCCGUAAACCGGCAGCGGGACAGUGGCAGGCGGGUAGUUUGACUGGGGCGGUCGCCUCCGAAAGAGUAACGGAGGCGCCCAAAGGUUCCCUCAGGAUGAAUGGAAACCAUCCGAAGAGUGUAAAGGCACAAGGGAGCUUGACUGCAAGGCAGACACGCCGAGCAGGGCCGAAAGGCGGGCUUAGUGAUCCCACGGUACCGAGUGGAAGGGCCGUGGCUUACCGGAUAAAAGCUACCCCGGGGAUAACAGGCUAGUCUGGUCCAAGAGUUCACAUCGACGACCAGGCUCGGCACCUCGAUGUCGGCUCAUCGCAUCCUGGGGCUGGAUCAGGUCCCAAGGGUUGGGCUGUUUCGCCCAUUAAAGCGGUACGUGAGCUGGGUUCAGACCGUCGUGAGACAGGUCGGUCUCUAUCCGCUGUGGGCGUAAGGAGGUUGAGAGGAGCUGUCCCUAGUACGAGAGGACCGGGAUGGACGAAGCGCUCGUGUGCCGGUUGUCACGCCAGUGGCAUCGCCGGGUAGCGACCUUCGGAGCAGAUAACCGCUGAAAGCAUCUAAGCGGGAAGCUGGCCUCAAGAUGAGCCUCCUCACCGGAUAACCGGGUAAGACCGCUGGUAGACUACCAGCUCGAUAGGCCGGAUGUGGAAGCGUUGUAAGACGUGUAGCAAACCGGUACUAAUGGUCGA
rnacentral:rRNA from 1 species